rnacentral:lncRNA from 1 species
AGCCCCAGAUGGCAUGAGAAAGGGAGAGCUGGCCCUGCCCCUUGUUGGGGCAGUGCUGGAGAGCUGGGGCAGUGCCGGAGAGCUGGCUCUGGUGUCAAUGGCACAGGAGAGCUGGUGAGCUGACCAACUUAGCUUCCAUCCAGACCAACUGGAGUGUCUCCUUCCUGAGCAUUCAGCCUACAAUCCCAAGGGACUGAGUUGGCUCCAGUGCAGUAUACAUGGAAGUGGUACUUGCUCUUUGGGGCUUGGCCUCAGAACUAUCCUGGAUGGAGGUCAGAGCUUACCGUAUGGUCAGGUCUGUCUUCGCAUAGCCGUCGUACUGUGUGCUCCUCUGCAGUGCAUGCAUAUCCAGUUCAGGACUGCCACAAACCAGGAUUUCUACUUCUUCUGGACGAAGCAGCUAUCAAUAAUCACAAAAACCAUAAUUCAAAAUGAUAGUCUUGCCGGGCAGUGGCGGUGCCCUCCUUUAAUCCCAGCACUCGGGAGGCAGAGGCAGGCGGAUUUCUGAGUUCGAGGCCAGCCUGGUCUACAAAGUGAGUUCCAGGACAGCCAGGGCUGCACAGAGAAACCCUGUCUUGAAAAUCCAAAUUUAAAAAAAUGAUAGUCUUAAAUGAAAUUUGAAGUGUUUUUAUUGCAGAAUCAAAUCAUAGAAAUUAUGACACUGUCUCAGUAAAUAAAAUUACUUUUUUGUUGAAGAAAA